UUCUCAACAAUCAAUCUCUUUACCAAAGUUGUUUUCCUUAUGGUACUUUGGGAUAUAUUACACAUUUCAUACACAAUUUCAAAUGUGUUUAUAAAAACUACAUGUACCUUCAAAUGUUACGAUGGUACUUUGCCUCUCCACCCCCCCUCAAAUAAGGAACACUUUCUGAAGAAUCUGAAGCCUUAUAGACAUGAGUAGCUCAUGGGGGAUUUCUGUCCUUCAAUCCAGGUCAUUGUCAUAGGGGGCAAUGGGAGGACAGUGUCUAUAAAAAAAUUUAAAAACAAUAAUAAAACUGACUAAAAGAAAGUCUGCUUUUUAUUAUCACUAUAUGCCGGGAGCUCUAAACCAAUGUCAGUGAUAAAAUACUCCUCCCCCAAAAAGCGUUUUAUUGGUCUAAGGUCCAGCAAUUGCCUUUGAGCUGCUAGACCACUCCCAUCGCCCCACCCCUGGAACAACACUGAUCUUGGCUCAUGUUACAAAGAUCUGGAACAAAGAAAAUAGUCAUGCGCAGAUGCUUUGAAUGAGGUCCGAUGGAUGGCAGAAGAAAGGGCAGUGUUUUGGAAAACUGCAUGCAAUACAUUUUCCAUCAAGGGACACAACUGGUGAACUAAAAGUAUUGGACUUGGAACCAAAAGAUCUGUAUUUACGUCUCAGCACUUUCCAAGCUCUGUGCUCUUGGGCCAAUCCCUAAACUUCACUGGGCUUCACCUCCCUCCUUUGUAAAAUGAGGAGUGGGAGUGACCUGGGAUCCGUUUCACCUUAGAUCUUCAAUGAUUCUAUGGAAUUCUGCUUUCCUGAUGGCUCACAUUUUGAAAUUUUCGGUCUCUUCUUACAGACAACUUCCAUCCAUGAACUUCAGCUGAGUCUAAAACUUUGAGAAGAAAGAGUUAAGAUGGAGUCUGGUUGGUCCUAUAAAGGUUACAGUGCACUUCGUGAUUAAUAGCAGCUUAGGGCAUUUUCAGUUAAUUCUACAUCAUCCUAGAUGUGGCUUGCACACUGUUGCCUA
rnacentral:lncRNA from 1 species